rnacentral:lncRNA from 1 species
CAAGAGCCGAUGCCUUGAGUGGAAGCCGUCACAAUUGCUACCUUGUCGUCAAAGGGUAAUAGGCAAACAAUAAAAUACAAAUUCAACAAAUCGGGAAAAAAGAAAACAGAAAAGGAAAACCUUACACCCGAUGCUAUAAUCUGGAGGUGGAGCAUGGAGCUGCAAGCUGAGAAAGGGUAGACUGAGAAUGGCGAGAGAGAAUCGGCGAGGGAUUUGAGGGAAAUUACAGAGUGAGAAAAGGGAGGGAUGCUAUAAUCUCGAGGUGGAGCAUGGAGCUGCAAGCUGAGAAAGGGUAGACUGAGAAUGGCGAGAGAGAAUCGGCGAGGGAUUUGAGGGAAAUUACAGAGUGAGAAAAGGGAGGGAUGGGGGAUUCGAUGGAUGGUUACACAGAGAGACUCGGGAGAGAAAAAGAGGG